CACAUGAGAACCUUUCAAAGGGGGCUUCUGUCUUUUCAAAGCUGUAAGCUUUGAAUUUGCUGUCUUAGUGUUGUAGAGUCCCUUUCUAAUUUUAGAUAAAUUUACACCUCCCUCCCUGUCUUGGGAGCAAAAAUGUAAUAGAGAUUCCCCAGGCUGCCAUCUGCAUUUAAAUUAUUUCAGUUCUAUGAGAUUUUUUUGUUAUUUUAAAAAAAUGUAAUCUGAGCACUUUUUUAUAUUCUAAAAGAUAGAGGCUGUUAUCAGAUGAAUAUAUUAUUCAUUUGAUUAAAGUUAUUUAGAUAAGAAAUUACUCUUGUUUAUGUUUUCUUUCAAACAGCUUAUCCUAAUUUUUAUCCAUUGUGCAAGAUAUCAGUUUUAUAUAGUUUGAUUUUUAUAGGCUUUUAUUCAGUAUGAAUAAAGAUGAGAGAUGAAGACAGGUACUUAAAACGUAUCUUCUGUUGCUAACUUUAAAGAAGGAAAUGAAAUGGAAACAGUUGGGAAAUGUUUGAUUAGAACUCACUCAAAUGUGUAUUACUUUCCAAAAGAAAACCAGUGACUGCAAGACAAAACAAAUUUGAUUGCAUGUGAUAUUUUCUGCUCUUGUAUGUGCUUCUUGAACAGUCCAUUUGAUAAAGCUUGAAUGGAAAAAAAUAAAACUUUCUAUCUGCAGUGGCUCUUGCUGGUCAUUACUUAAAAGGCAUAUGUAUUUUCAUCUUUUGAGUUCUUGGGUACAUUUUACCUAUAGGGAAUAUGCAGAAUAAAGGUAGAACAUUAGCUAUAUGAAUUAUGGUUUUUAAUUUUCAGUAAUUGGAAUUUCACAUCACAUAGUUACCUGACAAAGUGUGACGGAUUUCUUUUUCAGGAAAAAAUUAAUCUCACCUUAAGCACAGAGCCUGGGUUUUCACAAGAUACAGAUUUAAGUAGCAAACUCAAAUUUAAAUUUCUUUUAAAAAGUUUAGUUUUCAGAAAAUUUUUCAUAAAGUGUAUCAUUCGCAAUAGUCCAGUGUAUUUAUAGGGUGCAUUUUAAAGUGUUUUGUCUUUCAUAGUAUAAGGAGAUCCUGAUAAGUUUAUGGCAAAGUGAAUCCUGUUUCCCAGGUGAUUUAAAUGUUAGUUGUGAUCCCCACUGGUGUUUUUUCUAGAAUGCAAAUAGCUUUAUUGUUUUUCUUAUUUGAAAUGGACAGUGUUUACCAGGUAACACUUAGGCAAUGUAGAAAAUUGUACCAAAACCAAAAAAAAUCACUUACAAUCCCAUCACUGACUACCACUCAUUCGCAUUUUGGCGUCUGUCCUUUCAAACUUUUAUUCUACCUGCAUGUAUGUAUGUUUUGUUUUAUUUUGAAAUAAAAAUGAAAUUAUGCCGUG
rnacentral:lncRNA from 1 species